rnacentral:rRNA from 1 species
GUUGUAUGGUUAAGUGACUAAGCGUACACGGUGGAUGCCUUGGCAGUCAGAGGCGAUGAAGGACGUAUUAACUUGCGAUAAGCCCAGAUUAGGUAGUAAAAACCAUUUGAGUCUGGGAUUUCCGAAUGGGGAAACCCAAUACCAUAAGGUAUUACUGUUGAGU